rnacentral:rRNA from 1 species
GGAUUCCCUCAGUAACGGCGAGUGAAGCGGGAAAAGCCCAGCACUGAAUCCCCUGCUCUUUGCGGGUAGCGGGACCUGUGGUGUUUGGGACGGUCUUCGGGUAUGAGAGUGGGGUGUCCGUGUUCUCUUGAACGGGGCCUUCCCAUAGCGGGUGUCUGGCCUCUAGGCAUGCCCCAACUCUCGCCCGUUGUCCGUCCUUGGAGUCGGGUUGUUUGGUAAUGCAGCCCAAAGUGGGUGGUAAGCUCCAUCUAAGGCUAAAUAUGACCACGAGACCGAUAGCGAACAAGUACCGUAAGGGAAAGUUGAAAAGAACUUUGAAGAGAGAGUUCAAGAGUACGUGAAACCGCUUAGAGGUAAACGGAUGGGCCCGCACAACGUAGUCACUGGCGGAAUUCAGCCCGUCGCUUGUACCCGGUCAUGCCUCGAGCAUCGGCACCGUUUGUAGACGUCAGGUCUCGGCGGUGUUGAGCGCUCUUGGUGUGCGCGCGGGUCUGGCGUCGGGUGCAUUUUUCGCCUAGUGAACAGCUACGACCGGUUUUGAGUCGACCUAUCCCCCGCGGCAAGGUGGCGCGUUGUUCGCCGGGCAUCGCUUCGGCGUUCCCGGUGUCGUACGCGUGUUAGAGGCCGCGGUGGGCGAGUGUCAGCGCUCGAGACCGAGUUGAACGAUCAAUCAAUCCGAACGGCAAGCCAUUGACUCUUCGGAGACUGGGCGGCCGUGGCCGGGUUCCGUGGCUCGAAGUUACGUCGGUAACCCAUCC